rnacentral:lncRNA from 1 species
CAACCUAGCCAACAGAAAACGGAAUAUGGUAUCAUUAUUUCAACAAGCAUAUCUUAAAAAUGCGUUGCUUAGAGAAGUUCCCAAUUGCUGGUCAAUAUGUCCACAAGCCACAAUGGCACACAGUAAUUGAUAGAAUUCGGACUUUCCCCGAGAAAAUUGAAUUUCGUCUAGUGAAUUGAUAUAGCUAACCAAGGCGGCUAUUACAGGUUGGAAUGCAGCAACUCCCUUUACAGGGUUAUCACCAAUUACCCUUUGAAAACCAUGAAGUACCAAUUGCGAUGCAAGAUAAAUUUUUUUCUGAAAAACAUCCAUUAAAUCGUUAUAUUCUUCUGUAUCAUGGGAAUCCGACUUCAAAGAAGACAUACAUUCAAAUGCGGUAUAAAAAUAUAGCUUAGCACAUAAGGCUUCUUGGCUUAAAAGAUUGGGCAUGUGCUCCACAAUGCCCGAGGAUAAGAUUUUAGCGCGUAUUUCAAAAUCCGAAUUAAAAGAUUCAGCAAAUUCCCAAGAUUGCUUUAAGAUAUCCAGCAAUUUUACCAUUUUUCUUUUCGGAAUAUUGGUAAGCAUAUUGUCAGAAUGAAAUAAUUCCCAUAGGCAGUUAAGCAUCAAAAGUUGUAAUGUGCACUUUACAACAAUACUUUUCAAAUGGUGCUUUUUUGAUUUAAAGACGCUCUGGCUAUUAAACCUUGAUAUUUCAUGUGGACGAAAACUAUUUUCUUUGACAUCCUCAAGAGAACUAUCAGAAUUGACUUGAGGAUACAAUGAAGGAUCACGAAGUUCUAUCGGAAGAGUCAUUUGAAGCAGCUGAUUUAUCGAGUUAAUUAUUUCAUCCCAGUCCACGUCUUUAAAUUGAUUCUUAUUCUUGAGGACAAAUUGAGAAAAACAACUAAGUCCCACUUUUGAUAUCAUACUGUUUUCUUGGCAAAUACAUUUUUCCAGUAAAUUCAGCGCCUUAGGAAGCAAAAAAUGAAGGCGCUCAAACAAGUUUUUAAUUAAUUCAAUAAAAGCUUUUAGUGCUUCAACCAUUGUUGUUAGCAUCCAUACUUCAGUCUCUUCAGUGUUCUUUGCUAAAUACAAACGUUGGGAAUUAGUAAUGGACAAAAUAGAAAAUAUUGAGAGCAAAGCUUUAUUGGAAACGGUUUCCCAAAAUUCUUCGUCAAAGUCAUCAGCGUGUCGAUAAAGACAAUCGAAUAAAACCUUCAAGGCUUUAGAUCGCACCUCUAAAUCUGACGCCUCGCAGAUGAUUUCAUUAAAUGACAGCAAAAACGGAAGCCAGUACUCUUCUUCUAGUUUUUUUGAAUAUACACUCUCUUUUUUCAUGUGCUUCAAAUGCUUAAUUAACUCAUGCUCCAAAUUUUUAAGCAUAUCCACACAACUCAGACAGAACUUUUGAUUGCCAUUAAGUUUAGCAAACUUAGUUAUACAAGAUAUCAGAUCAAUAUAAGCCCCUUGUGUAAGGACGCAGCUGAUAUGUUCAUGGCCCAAAGAUGAUACAACAGAUAUUGCGCACUGCAAAACCAAAAGAUUUUCAAUUUUAGAAGCGUAGGCGAGAAUAUGGAAUAUGGUUCUCCAUCCAGAACGUAUGUUUUGGUAUCUGGCUUUGAUCAUUUGAUCAAUACAACGUAAGACAAGGUCUUUAAUCUUAAGGUCCUGCGAAUUUUCCAUAGCAUGUGAAAAUGGCUGUAAGAAGUCCUUCUGAAAUUUAAAGUGAGAGAGCUCUUCAAUUUCUAAAAACUGCAUAGAAAAUUGUCUCAAGGAAUCUAAAGCAAAAGAUGCUAUUAUUGAGUUUUCAUGACAGCUGACUUGGGUAAAAUAAGUACCUAACAAAGACCAAAUACUGGACCAUUCCAUACGGAUACGACGCAUAUUAUAAUAUGAUAUUUCAACCAACUUUUGUAAACUGAAUAACCUCGGAUUAGAAAGUUCCAAAGAACACUCUAUUUCUUCCCAAGAGACCUCAAUUAAUGCUUUUACAAAAUCGUAGAUUCCUUCACUACCAAGGUUUCGAGUGUUUGAGAAGAGCAUAUCAACAGCCAUUACAACUUCACGAGAACUAUAUUCUCUGACGAUUUCAACUGAGCUAGAUUUAGUGGAGUGAGUGGAGGCAGAUUGAAAACUUUUAGAAUGUUUUAACGAAAUGCUUCCACUUCGAGACUGUCGUAUAUUCUUAUCUAAAGAUUUGCGCAAUGGUUUGGUAGUACUUACAUCUGGUAAAGAAUUUAUGUCGACACCAGCAGAUAUUAGUUGGACACGUUCCAACUGACUUAUACAUAAAAGCACGUCUUUCCAAGAGUCUCUCAACUUAUCUCCAUGAGCUAGUGAAAUUUCAAGUAGGGUUUUCAAAGCGUGCAUAUUCGUCCAUUUUAACUCGGACGUAUUAUUCAAAUGAGUAAACUUAGUCAAAGUUUGCAUGAAAGCAUUUCUAGGUAAAUCCAUUGAGAAAAAGAAAAUGACGUUCAUGGCCAACCGAAAUCCAUCAAGUGAAAGUUGAAUCAAUGCUGGAUCAGAGGAGAGUUGCAAUGGUUCAGAGAAUGCCGCGAGAAUUGGCAUCCAAACAGCUUCAAACAUCGGACAAACAUGCUCAAAGUGCCUAGCAGUAUAAUAAAUAUCAUUUCCUGAAAGUUUUCCUCUUUCACGUUGUUCACGAAUUAAAUCUUUAAACAACGCUUCGGUCUUGUUGGCCAUCUUAUUGGAAGCCAUAUAGUAUGCUUCCCUUUGCAAAUCUCUUCCAACCGUCGCCAAUGCAUUACUUAUGUUAGCAGCAAAGCUAAGAUUACUAGUCCCGGGUAUUUCUGGAAAGUUGGAAGUAGGAUCUUGCUCAUCUUUCAAAACAAUUUCGUUUUUUUGGAUUUCCUCAUAUACCUCAGUCAAAAACGAAUCGCUCAGAUUAGCACCAUCAUCCACACCUCUGUUAUUUUUAAUAAAAU